AUUGAACGCUGGCGGCAUGCUUUACACAUGCAAGUCGAACGGUAACAGGCCUUCGGGUGCUGACGAGUGGCGAACGGGUGAGUAAUGCAUCGGAACGUACCCAGAGGUGGGGGAUAACGCAGCGAAAGCUGUGCUAAUACCGCAUGUGAUCUGAGGAUGAAAGCGGGGGACCGAGCAGCAAUGUUUGGCCUCGCGCCUUUGGAGCGGCCGAUGUCGGAUUAGCUACUUGGUGGGGUAAAGGCCUACCAAGGCGACGAUCCGUAGCUGGUCUGAGAGGACGACCAGCCACACUGGGACUGAGACACGGCCCAGACUCCUACGGGAGGCAGCAGUGGGGAAUUUUGGACAAUGGGCGCAAGCCUGCUCCAGCAAUGCCGCGUGCGGGAAGAAGGCCUUCGGGUUGUAAACCGCUUUUGGCAGGAACGAAACGGUGUCCGCUAAUACCGGGCGCUAAUGACGGUACCUGCAGAAUAAGCACCGGCUAACUACGUG
rnacentral:rRNA from 1 species